UAUAUACUCCCUCCGUUCGGAAAUACUUGUCAUCAAAAUGGAUAAAAGGGAUGUAUCUAAAUGUAUUUUAGUUUUAGAUACAGCCCUUUUUGUCCAUUUUGAUGACAAGUAUUUUCGGACGGAGGGAGUAUAAU
rfam:Triticum aestivum genome assembly, contig: Triticum_aestivum_CS42_TGACv1_scaffold_093099_2AL